rnacentral:rRNA from 1 species
CACGCCGUAAACGAUGAGUGCUAAGUGUUAGAGGGUUUCCGCCCUUUAGUGCUGAAGUUAACGCAUUAAGCACUCCGCCUGGGGANCAACGCGAAGAACCUUACCAGGUCUUGACAUCCUCUGAAAACCCUAGAGAUAGGGCUUCUCCUUCGGGAGCAGAGUGACAGGUGG